rnacentral:piRNA from 1 species
UGACAGUCAUAAGAACUGGAUGGUAGAUUA